rnacentral:rRNA from 1 species
ACUGGAGUUUGAUCCUGGCUCAGGAUGAACGCUAGCGGCAGGCCUAACACAUGCAAGUCGAGGGGUAGAGUUCUUCGGGACUUGAGACCGGCGCACGGGUGCGUAACGCGUAUGCAAUCUACCUUAUACAGGGGAAUAGCCCAGAGAAAUUUGGAUUAAUGCCCCAUAGUGUUAUCGAAUCGCAUGGUUUGAUAACUAAAGUUCCAACGGUAUAAGAUGAGCAUGCGUCCCAUUAGUUAGUUGGUAAGGUAACGGCUUACCAAGACAAUGAGUGGGUAGGGGUCCUGAGAGGGACGAUCCCCCGACA